rnacentral:misc_RNA from 1 species
AAGAAGAAACGCGCGAAAGGGGGGCAACCCCCGAGUAGAGCGGUGUACCCGUGAGUAAAGCGUGGGUGAUCUGCCUCCGAGUGGGGAAUAACAGCGGGAAACUGCUGCUAAUACCGCAUGACAUCCUCGAGUCACAUCGGGGAUCAAAGCCGGGGACCGAAAGGCCUGGCGCUUGGAGAUGAGCCCGCGUCCGAUUAGCUAGUAGGCGGGGUAACGGCCCACCUAGGCGGCGAUCGGUAGCCGGCCUGAUAGGGCGGACGGCCACACUGGGAUUGAGACACUGCCCAGACUCCUACGGGAGGCAGCAGUGGGAUCUUGCUGUAAAACUCCAACCAUCCGGACGAUCUGGCAGCCGCUCUACCCUAUAUGAGUCUUAUUACCCCUGCAUGGAAUUGGAGUGCAAGACAAAGUGAGCACAGCACCUGAAUUCACUCACAUUACUUACCAUAUCUAUCACAAGAAACACCAACAAGUGACAAAAAAAGAUAAAAAUGAACACCCAUCCGCGCAGAAAAAUUCUUGUUAACACCCGAAUCUUUUCGGGUUUAUAUACUACAUCCAUCUGUCCGCGCCCAGGUGGGUACGUAUGACCACCCACCAGUACACCCCAGCCCUUGUACCACAACGGACAAUCCAGCUAUCUCUACCACAAUCUAUUAAAUAUCGACAUAGAAAAACGACAUGCCAAAUCAAUCUAUAUUCACAAACCCCACUCCAUAUCAGAAGAUAGACAAGCAUG